rnacentral:rRNA from 1 species
ACAGCUCAAAUUUGAAAUCUCCCAUCAGGGCGAKUUGUAAUUUGAAGAGGAUGUUUUGGAAGGAAAUCAAUUAAAGUUCUUUGGAACAAGACAUCAAAGAGGGUGAGAAUCCCGUCUAUAAUUGAAUUUUCAACCGUGUAAANCUCCUUCMACGAGUCGAGUUGUUUGGGAAUGCAGCUCUAAAUGGGAGGUAUAUUUCUUCUAAAGCUAAAUAUUGGCCAGAGACCGAUAGCGCACAAGUAGAGUGAUCGAAAGAUGAAAAGCACUUUGAAAAGAGAGUUAAAAAGUACGUGAAAUUGUUGAAAGGGAAGCGUUUAUCAUCAGACUUGAUUUUGAUUGUUCAACCUCUCUUCGGGUGGUUUACUCAAUUGAUUCAGGCCAAAAUCAUUUCGGAGGGUCAAARAAAGUCUUGAGGAAUGUAACUCCUCGGAGCAUUAUAGCCUCUUGAACAAUUUGACCUCUUCGGAAUGAGGACUGCGUUCGCUAGGAUUUUGGCGUUAUGAUGAUCAACGACCCGUCUUGAAACACGGACCAAGGAGUCUAGCAUAUAUGCGAGUUUUAAGGUGUCAAACCUUUKAGCGCAAUUAACGUAAACGUAGGUGAGAACCUGUUUACAGGUACAUCAUGGACCGAUCCUGAAGUUUACGGAAGGAUUUGAGUAAGAGCAUAUACGUUGGGACCCGAAAGAUGAUGAACUAUGCCUAAAUAGACUGAAGCCGCCCGAAAGGGCGGUGGAAGGUCGCAGCGGUUCUGACGUGCAAAUCGAUCGUCAAAUUUGGGUAUAGGGGCGAAAGACUAAUCGAAUCAU